rnacentral:rRNA from 1 species
GACAGAGGGUGCAAACGUUGUUCGGAAUUACUGGGCGUAAAGCGCGUGUAGGCGGCCCUGCAAGUCGGGUGUGAAAUCCCACGGCUCAACCGUGGAAGUGCACUCGAAACUGCAGGGCUAGGGUCCUGGAGAGGAAGGUGGAAUGCUUGGUGUAGAGGUGAAAUUCGUAGAUAUCAAGCGGAACACCGGUGGCGAAGGCGGCCUUCUGGACAGUGACUGACGCUGAGACGCGAAAGCGUGGGGAGCAAACAGG